CCUCACUCCUGUUCUGUGUAUGGCACUGGUAGAAUUCACUGUGAAAACACACUAUCAGUGAAUUACCAAAGGGCCAUAAACAGAGCAGAGAAAGAACCACAA
rnacentral:pre_miRNA from 13 species